AUCGCUUCUCGGCCUUUUGGCUAAGAGCACAGUGUAGUAUCUGUCUUUAUCAGCGUAAUAUCUGAUUACGUCCUACAUUUGGGGGACAUCGAUAUUAAACUGAUGUUGAAAUAGGGGGUGAGGUUGACGUGGGCUUGGCUCAGCCCUCACCACGGGUUGACCCGGUAUUGCAGGUCUUCCGGAAUGGCCCAACCCUG